UGCUUGGGAAGCUGCCCGAUAGAGGGGAGUAACAGUUGGAAACGACUGCUAAUACCGCAUAUUCUCUACGGAGCAAAGGGGACCUCUAUUUAUAAGCUCUCGCUAUCGGAUGCGCCCAAGUGGGAUUAGCUAGUUGGUAAGGUAAUGGCUUACCAAGGCGACGAUCCCUAGCUGGUCUGAGAGGAUGAUCAGCCACACUGGAACUGAGACACGGUCCAGACUCCUACGGGAGGCAGCAGUGGGGAAUAUUGCACAAUGGGCGAAAGCCUGAUGCAGCCAUGCCGCGUGUAUGAAGAAGGC
rnacentral:rRNA from 1 species